rnacentral:lncRNA from 1 species
AGAAAUUUCUCCAUUACCUAAAGAGAGAGGAAGAAAAAAGCUAAUUCACUGCUUUAAAGAGCUGUGCAAAAUUCCAUCAAGAACAUAGAUAAUUAAAGUAAUAUUAAUAGAUUUUUAGGUCUUCAUAUUCCCCUAGAGGCCAGGUGUCCCUGAUUUUUUUUUUCCUUUUCCCCUUCAAGUAAUGUCCCUGACUCAGUUGUCAAAGACUGAGAAGCAGAAGUGCCCCACUAGCUUUGAACUUCAUCCCCACACUGGAAUUGCAAGGUUAAAUAAAUGGGGUGGUUUUUUUUUUUAAUUAUUUUAAACUGAGCAUAACAUUUCAAAAAGAUUUUUUUCUCCCCCCUCCCCCGAUGUAUUUUUAGGCUGUAUGCACUCUUGCCCAUGUCUGUUCCUUAGUCCCAGUUGAAGAUUUCAAGGGAGACGAGGGUUCUACAUUGUUUCUCCCUUGUAUUGCAGAUAGGGGGAGGAGGUGGUUAUUAGAGAGAAGCGCUCUCACUCGCUCGCUCUCUCUGUUUCUCCCUCUCUGGCUGAUAGCACUUAUCUCUCGCUCUCUCUCCUUCUCCUAGGUGAUCCAUUUCUAGGCAACGUGCUGGCUGGUGCUGGAGCUGCCAGCUCUCUCUGCAUCCCACCAGCAAAGCAAGAUCCAAAAGCAACCUGCAGACCAUCAUCUGCCUUCCUCUGCCUCGCUCCGGGAAUCUGGCUGCCGGGAGCGGGAUCGCCUGCUCCCUCGGUCGCCCGCUCCUCCCACCUCGCUGAAGGCGAGCUAUUUGCUGCGGGCUCCUGGGGCUUCUGUGGCCAAGAGGGUUUGUGGGUGUCUGCUGGCGUGUGCGUGUCUGCCCGUGUGUGUGUCUGCGUGUCUGUGUCUGUGUGCGAGCGUGUGCGUGGUGUGGGUUGGAAGUUGCUGUGCAGCAGCGGGACCGAGCGGAUCCCUGGACCCGGCGGAAGGAUGGGGAUUGUCUGACCAGCAGAGGCGUCUGCUGCCCGCGGCGGGGCCCGGGCUGGAUGGAUUUGCUGCCGGCGCUCCCAGCAAUUCUGGUGCUGCCCAGGAGCCCCGCGAAGUGACGCGGGCUUUCGCCGAGGAGAGAAGCGCUCGGAGCCCCGGGCUCGCUCCCUGA